rnacentral:rRNA from 1 species
UGAAUACGAGACGCUAAGGCGUCGAAGUAGUGUAUGUCAUACUUCCAAGAAAAGCUUGCACUGUCAUAGAUAAAAAACGCCUGUACCAUAACCGACACAGUUGGGUAGGUAGAGUAUACUAAGGGGCGCGAGAUAACUCUCUCUAAGGAACUCGGCAAAAUAACUCCGUAACUUCGGGAGAAGGAGUGCCUUAUUCGUAAGGUUGCAAUAACAAGAUCCAAGCAACUGUUUAUCAAAAACACAGGUCUCCGCUAAGUCGUAAGACGAUGUAUGGGGGCUGACGCCUGCCCAGUGCCAGAAGGUUAAAGAAGUUGGUUAGCAAUUGCGAAGCUGAUAACUGAAGCCCUGGUGAACGGCGGCCGUAACUAUAACGGUCCUAAUGUAGCGAAAUUCCUUGUCGGGUAAGUUCCGACCCGCACGAAAGGCGUAAUGAUUUGGAUACUGUCUCGGAGAGGGGCUCGGUGAAAUAGACUUGUCUGUGAAGAUGCGGACUACCUGCACCAGGACAGAAAGACCCUAUGAAGCUUUACUGUAACUUGAAAUUGAAAUUGGACUUUAUUCGCGCAGUAUAGGUGGGAGGCGUUGAUUAUAAUCUUGUGGGAUUAUUGGAGCCAUCAGUGAGAUACCACUCUUGUAAUGUUAGAUUUCUAACUUUGAAUCAUUACCUGGUCAAAGAACAGUUUCAGGCGGGCAGUUUGACUGGGGCGGUCGCCUCCUAAACGGUAACGGAGGCGUACAAAGGUUUCCUCUGAACGGUUAGAAAUCGUAUCUAGAGUGUAAAGGCAUAAGGAAGCUUGACUGUGAGACCUACAAGUCGAGCAGGGACGAAAGUCGGUCUUAGUGAUCUGACGGUACUGAGUGGAAAGGCCGUCACUCAACGGAUAAAAGUUACUCUAGGAUAACAGGCUGAUCUCCCCCAAGAGUUCACAUCGACGGGGAGGUUUGGCACCUCGAUGUCGGCUCAUCGCAUCCUGGGGCGGUAGUACGUCCCAAGGGUUGGGCUGUUCGCCCAUGAAAGCGGUACGCGAGCUGGGUUCAGAACGUCGUGAGACAGUUCGGUCCAUAUCCGGUGUAGGCGUUAGAAUAUUGAGAGGAGCCUUCUUUAGUACGAGAGGACCGAGAAGGACAUACCUCUGGUGUACCAGUUAUCGUGCCAACGGUAAACGCUGGGUAGCUAUGUAUGGAGUGGAUAACCGCUGAAAGCAUCUAAGUGGGAAGCCCACCUCAAGAUAAGUAUUCUC